rnacentral:tRNA from 1 species
GGGCGAUUAGCUCAGCUGGUUAGAGCGCUAGCUCGACAAGCUAGAGGUCACUGGUUCGACUCCAGUAUCGCCCACCA